rnacentral:rRNA from 1 species
UACGAAGGGGGCUAGCGUUGCUCGGAAUCACUGGGCGUAAAGCGCACGUAGGCGGCUUACUAAGUCAGGGGUGAAAUCCUGGAGCUCAACUCCAGAACUGCCUUUGAUACUGGUGAGCUUGAGUCCGGAAGAGGUGAGUGGAACUGCGAGUGUAGAGGUGAAAUUCGUAGAUAUUCGCAAGAACACCAGUGGCGAAGGCGGCUCACUGGUCCGGUACUGACGCUGAGGUGCAAAAGCGUGGGGAG